rnacentral:miRNA from 2 species
CCAGAUCUAACUCUUCCAGCUCG